UUAAACCUGAUGGUCUGAAGGCCCCAGGGCUCAUUACCUCAUAUCAACCCUGAUAUAAACCUGAUGGUCUGGAGGCCCCAAUGUUAAUUACCUCAUAUCAACUCAGAUAUAAACCUGAUGGUCUGGAGGCCCCAGGGUUGAUUACCUGAUAUCAAUGCUGAUAUCAACCUGAUGGUCUGGAGGCCCCAAUGUUAAUUACCUCAUAUCAACUCAGAUAUAAACCUGAUGGUCUGAAGGCCCCAGGGUUGAUAACCUCAUAUCAACUCGGAUAUAAACCUGAUGGUCUGAUGGUCUAAAGGGCCCAGGGUUGAUUACCUCUUAUCAACUCGGAUGUAAACCUGAUGGUCUGGAGGCCCCAGGGUUGAUUACCUGAUAUCAAUGCUGAUAUCAACCUGAUGGUCUGGAGGCCCCAAUGUUAAUUACCUCAUAUCAACUCAGAUAUAAACCUGAUGGUCUGGAGGCCCCAAUGUUGAUUACCUCAUAUCAACUCAGAUAUAAACCUGAUGGUCUGAUGGUCUAAAGGGCCCAGGGUUGAUUACCUGAUAUCAACGCUGAUAUCAACUUGAUGGUCUGGAGGCCCCAAUGUUGAUUACCUCAUAUCAACCCGAUAUAAACCUGAUGGUCUGAAGGCCUGAGGGAGGAUUCCCUCAUAUCAACCUGAUAUCAAACUGAUGGUCAGGAGGUCUGAGGGAGGAUUACUUCAUAUCAAACUGGUGGUCAUGGGAUCUGAGGGUGGUUCACCUUGUAUCAACCUGAUGGUCUGAGACCUUAGUUCUGAGGGUUGAUUGGAUGACUGGUAUGGUCAAUGGCGACGAUAAUCUGGUAUAUUAAUUUUUACUGAUGUAUCAGUAAGGAUUUUUAGAUGUCUGAUUUGGACAAGGUUUCAUUGAAAGUAGAAUAUUUGUUUGUUUGUUCAAUUGUUAACAGCAGAUAUGAGAAAUAUAGGAUAUAAGUGGAUCCCAUGAUGGUAUUGCUUUUGCAUAACUAGCAAUGUUUCAUAACAAAAAUGCCUGUUAAAGCUCAGCAUAUACAUGUAUAUUAGAUACCUAUGGCUUCAUUUUACUUAAAUAUCAUUGGAGAAAAUAUGGUCACGUGGAGACCAUUAUUUUGAAAUGUUAACCUGAUGUUUCUGUGUAAAGAAACACUGUCAGUAUUGCGUCUAUGGCGUCAUAAUCAUGGUGAUGUUACAAUGCCCCCAAUGUAAAUUUCCUGUUAUCAAAUUAAAUAUAAUGCAAUUCUACUGUUUUGCAAACAAGUUUCAUAUGUAACAUAAAAAUGGAGGACCUUUGAUGAAGUAAUAUGGUGUUAUAUGGAACUCAGUCUUUGGUCAAUAUUUGAUUUCACCAGGUCGGUUUAACACAAUAUUGACCUAGUCAAACAUCCAUUAUUGAUAAAAAAAAGUGUCUAUGAUAAAUGCAAUUAGUGAGUUAUUUUGUCAUUAUUUUCAGCCUCUCCAAAUGUAGUACGUACUUGUUUGUCUUAUAGAGAAAUAUAUCUCUUGUAAAAUGGCCUUUUUUGUAUAUGUUAGAAAAUCUCUAUCUGUACUCUUUAUGGAUACUGAAUGAAUGUCAUUCUUAUAUAUGUCACAGAGAUAUAGCGAAGUGUAUAUUUGUAAACAAAUACAUUAUAAUUAUGAGGCAGAUUACGAAAAAAGUUUUUUAUAUUUAUUUUUUAAUGUAACAUUCCUCAUAUUUUUUUUAUACUUUAUUUAUACUUUAAUAUAUUCUACACUACAAGAUUUAAAAAAGUUUUAUAGUAUUGAUCUUCUUAUAGUUAUACAAUUCAUAAGUUUUAAUUUUUAUGAUUAUUGAUAAAUGCUGUUGGUGUCCCGAUUGUUGAAAAUCUGAUGACAUUUACAACACAUUAUUUUAUUUAGAAAAUAUCUCAAGUUAGAAAACUGAAACUGAUAAUGACACUUAGAUUACAUUCUUUACAGUUUUUUGGUACUGUUAUUUUUUUCUGUUUAUAAUUUACAUUUGAAAAGUUGUUAAAAACAUACUUUUUGUUACCAACAUCACGCACUUGAAUAAGAUCAUCUUUUUGUUACCAACAUCACGCACUUGAAUAAGAUGAUCUAACCCAACAUCCAUCCCAUCGUAAGGGGUUUUUUACAAUUUAAAUAUCAAUCAUAAAAUAUAAUUUAUUCUUUAUCCAAACUGUUGUUAUCUCUCAUGUUGAUUCUAUUUGUAAUUCUUUGGCAAUUGUGUCUUGUCACUGAAAUUUGUCUAAAUAGAUAAAGUAUAUAUCGUUCGUUACAUGUAAAUAUAUAUUAUUUGUUAAACGAAAACAAUACUGAAGUAUUUUGAUGGACAAGAAGAGUUCCAAAAACGGCCAAGGUCAAUAUAUAAAUGUCGGUAAUAGCUAGUUUUCUUUGAUUAUAGGUUGAUUGGUUCGACCAUAGAUAUGGUUUCUGACUGUUUUUAAAUGUACAUGUAUCUGAUCUGCAAUGUUUACAAACAACAACAUCGCCUGUUUUAAUUGAUUUAACCUUUUUAAGGAGCAAUUAAAAAGGUAUGAAGUUUUCUUUUGCCAUAGAUAUUAUACAAGAAAUGCAAUUUUUGUAUGUUGAAAAUCAGAAGGUAAUUACAUGUAUUAUUGGAAUGAAAAUAAUGGAGAACAAACGUCAAUAUCUCCCUUAUUAUGCUUAUGACAUCAAAAACAAAUAAUGUAGGGUUAAUAAAAAAAAAAAGAAAAAAGUUUUUCAC